ACGCGUUCUGCAAUCUUUUCCAAUCCACCCAGGAAGACAAAUACAAGCUCCAGUCUCCGGAUCACAACUGGCGCCAUUUCCACAGUCACAUAUCUUCUCACAGGAAGGACCAUACCGACCGGUUGGACAUGCUAGCAAAAAAGAAUAUCCUAUUUUAGAUGUUAUCCAUAUUUGAUGCAAUUUCCUCAAGAUAAAGACCAUAAGUCUGGUCCCUGGCUAAUUUCUGUUCAUGAAAACGGUACAAUUCGAAGCACAACUAACCGUACAAAUUCCUAUUCGAACAAAUUGAACAGAACGAAUUGGAAUCUGCACACGUGCACCGCGUUGUCUCAAUGGCACAGUUUUGAGUAAAGGUUGAUAUAGCCACUUUGAUCACAGGAAUAUUUUUAGUGCAUGUGGGCCUACUGUAUAACGGUCUAAGGUGAUUUGACAUAUUGUCCCAAAAUGAAAGAACCGUCAAAACUGCAACGUAACGUCUUGGAAGUGAGACAGUUGGGUAGUGUAUACAAAUUCACGUCACAUUUUACAUGAUAGAUAGGUACAUUUGUGAUUGAUCUGAUAGGUAGCGGUACUGGCAUAGUGGAAGUCGAAUCUGAACCACCAAACGAUGAAUUGAAAUUUGUGUGUUUUAAUAGAACCAGUAAUUUGGAAAAAAGUUGAUGAUCAUUUAUUUGGAAGUUUACGAUAACGUGAUAUGGAAUAAAAUUAAAAAUUACCACUUUGCUGAGCGUGUAAUCGAACACUUUUUGUACAGUAAUAUACGUUUUAUUCUAUUGCACGGUUUGGUUUUCAUUUAAUUUCAUCCGUCAAAAUCUUAAUCGUAUCGUAGCUCAUUAACUCGAAUAUUCAUAAUGUGGCCGAAUAUUCAUAAUAUGUGCGAAGCAAAAUGGCGGGUGUUAAAUUAAAAUCAUGACUAAAAUAUAUAUUUUUACGACAAUAUUGAGUUAAUUAAUGAAUACUAUUAUUACAUUAACUCUUCACUCAAACAUUUUUUGGGACAUAUAUCUGUUGGAUUUCUAUUAAUUUUAAACUUUGUAUACAUGCAACUCAGGUUUGUAUUUGUUUUUUUUUUAUUCAAUUGAAUUUUGCAAAGUUCGAUAACAUUGAUUUAUUUUGGUGUUAUAUAAAACAAAUAUAAUGAAUGUUUUUAUUUGUGCGAUAGUAAAAUAUUUUCAUGAGGUGAAAUAUGAACAUGCAGUAGUGAAACUUUAGGAACUAACGAUUUCUUCAUCAGGAAGUUGUAAUGAUUUAGCAUACUUUAAUUAUGGUCAGCUGCAAGCAUCGCGGGCUCAUGUAUCCUGUUCUCUCUGUAACUGACAUUGUUUUUCUUUAUAUGAGAUUUAAUAAAAUAUUUUUUUUAAUCGCAAUCGAUCUUGACUUUAAAAAUCAAAUACAACAACGAGCCAUUAAUCAGCAUUAAUAAUCGCCUAGUAGAAAAGAUAGUCCAUCUAACAUUUAUUCCUUAAUAUGCAAACUGAGACGUAAAUUUUCACCGCAUGUCAAGAAACGUGUACAAAGGAGAGCCACCUCUUGGAUACUGCAAGCCAAGCGCGGAGAAAUUGCAUAUAAGCAGCGGCUGAUAACCCUUGGCUUAUUACCCCUGUGCUACGAAAGAGAAAUAAAAGACUUAGUGUUCUUUUUUAAGGCACUGUAUGGACAUAUUGAUCUUGACGUGCAUAGUUUCGUUUCAUUUGUCAACAAUGGCCGAACACGACUUAGUCGAAAUCCUUCUCUCACACUCAAAAUUCCUUUCUGUAAAUCCAAAACAUUUCAAUCCUCAUAUUUCAACCGGCUUGUCAAGUUAUGGAACCACGUCUGCAAAAUUCUUCCCUCUACACCACCUUUGCCAGCCUCUCCAUCUUCAAAAGAUCUCUUAAAGCCACUUACGCUAACUUGGUUACGGCAACAUUUGACGUGGACAUGCCAUGCACCUGGACACUGGUGCGGGACUGCCCCUGCCACAGAUCUUAAGUAGUUUUAAUAGACGCCCUUACAAAAAUUCCACAUGAUUUCACAUGUGUGAAAUUUCACAUGUGAAUUUGGAACAUGUGAUUUUUCACAUGUGAAAUUUCACAUGUGAAAUUAUGUUUCACAUGUUCCAAAUUCACAUGUGAAACUUCACAUGUGAAAUUUCACAUGUGAAGUUUCACAUGUGAAAUACAU